GUGUCAGCCGCCGCGGUAAUACGUAGGUGGCAAGCGUUGUCCGGAAUUACUGGGCGUAAAGGGUCUGUAGGCGGCUCGGAAAGUCUCCUGUGAAAUCUCCCGGCUCAACCGGGAGGGGUCGGGAGAAACUUCCGAGCUUGAGGGCAUCAGAGGGAGACGGAAUUCCCGGUGUAGUGGUGAAAUGCGUAGAUAUCGGGAGGAACACCAGUGGCGAAAGCGGUCUCCUGGGGUGUACCUGACGCUGAGGGACGAAAGCGUGGGGAGCAAACCGGAUUAGAUACCCUCGUAGUCC
rnacentral:rRNA from 1 species